ACCCGAAAACCCGACCCGAACCCGAUCCGAAAAAAGCGGGUUAGGGUUGAGGUUUCCGACCCGAAAACUUAAAUGGGUCGACACGAACCCGAACCCGAAAUUAAAUGGGUUAGGUUAAGGUUGAAAAUCUCAACCCGAAAACGACCCACUUAACCCGAAAUAAAUUUCAGGUCAAAAUCAGGUCGGGUCAACCCGAACCUGACCUGAUAACCCGAACUAAUUUAAGUAAGAAAAAGAAAAAAAAACGUAAAAAGCUUAUUAAGCCCAGCCCAAAUUCACAAAGAGGCUUCCAUAUAUAAAUUCAAUACCCUAAAUGAACUCAUUUCCCCUCAUUGAUCUUCAGCCGUUUUUCCCCUCACUUCUCUCUCUUUAAUUUUCUCUCUCCUCAAAAACUCAUUGUUGAAUUCGACAGAGGUAGUUCCGUUAAGCCCAACUUUACCAUUGCCAUUUCCUUGACGGCUUGAAUCCUUCACUCCUCCACGAAUUCCUCUCCUUCAUCAAAGGUUUGGCAGCAAGAAGUAGCCCACCCAUGUUCAAUUGGAAAUGUUGUGGAUCAAUUUUGAAGCUUGAGGUGGUGAACAAGGAUGACAACCAUGACAAAUUGACAGUCCCAACAUCGCCCGAUCUUAAUCCAAAUGAAAAUCUUAUUGCAUCUUCUAUUAUUUUUUGAAAACUGUAAUUUGUGUUAUUAAAACUUUAUCUUUGGUUUGUAAUUAGUGAAUUACAAUUUUUAUUGGUUUAUUAUCGUUAAGUAGGAUUGUUACUUUGUUAGACUAA